UAGAUACCCUGGUAGUCCACGCCCUAAACGAUGUCGAUUAGCUGUUGGGCAGCAUGACUGCUUAGUAGCGAAGCUAACGCGUGAAAUCGACCGCCUGGGGAGUACGGUCGCAAGAUUAAAACUCAAAGGAAUUGACGGGGACCCGCACAAGCGGUGGAUGAUGUGGAUUAAUUCGAUGCAACGCGAAGAACCUUACCUGGUCUUGACAUGUACGGAACCCUCCAGAGACGGAGGGGUGCCUUCGGGAGCC
rnacentral:rRNA from 1 species